UCCAAGUUCCUUACCUUCCAUAGCACAUUCUGAAUCUGAAGAUCAGGACCUACUAUUCUGAGAAAAAUCUUACAGAACUAGAGAAGUAAAUGUAAUCGCUCAUUUAAAAAAAUCUAGUAAAUGUGGCUGACUAAGAGGUAUGAAUUAUACUUUCUAUUUUGAAGACUUUCUGUGUUCUGAAGUGAAGAAUAGAGGAAAAGAGAGAAGGGAACAGAAGAGAGAGUACAUGUGGGAAGUGGCUGUGGAUUUAAGGAAUGAAGAUGGUAAAGUGACAUGAGCAUGGGAUUCCAUCUUGUUGGCAUAAAGUUGUUCAGUGAUGAAAAGAAUGUGCACAAGACUGUAAUAAGCUCAAUGGAGCCCAGAAUGGAGAGUGUUACGGCAAGACGGACUUUUUAGAAUCUCAUUCCAUUUCUUAUCAACCUCCUGGGAGCAAAGAAAAUCCUGUAUCUUCCCAGAUCUUAGAGGAUGUCCAGAAAAUAAUCAGCAAUCAAAGGGCAAGAUCCUUGGAUUAGCUUAGCGUUGCCUGCUGAUAGAUCUCUACGAAAGGACUGAGUGUUCCCUUAGGUCACAGAGACUCUUCUGUAGGUCUUGAGAAAGCAGCUACCAAAGUUGUCAGCCUACAAACAAACAAUGUCUACAAGCACAGGAGGUUGGAGAUGGCCCUGAGCUUCAGAUGGAGCUGAGUCGUACCCUCGGGUGACUGAGCAGAAGACCCAGCGAAGGCAUUUGGGACUUCUCAUCCAACACACGGUGACAAAAUAAAGACUUCAGGUAUAGUUGACGUACCUAUGGACAUGCCAUACAUGAACAGUAUGCAGUCUUCAGAAGACCUGGACUUCACCAUUACUACUCGAUCACAUCACCAGUGAAUCAGUGAAGACUGUUUAAUGUGAUCGAGUGCAGUAACUACUCACAGAGCCAGGGCACCGAGGGCUGCAGAGUCCACACCGAGAGGUCCUUCUCCUGGGUCUAAAACUGAUGCAGAAGAGGAAGGAGGCAGAUGGAGCUCCGGGUCUCCCACACCUGCAGGACAGUGUCCCUCCCAAGACAGGGGGUGCACCUGAGGGUCCCACUGACACUGCUCUUUUGAUCCAGCUAACUAAAUUGCACUCAUCUUCAUAAUGAUCUUAAGGUCAUACCUACUGGUUUGUUGAGGACUGACUGGUCAUUCAUUUAAGAGUUGAGCCCUUCCAAGCAGAAUUCUUGGUUGAGAUGAAGUCGAGCACUUGCUAGGAGACACAGGGUCUAAAGUGAGCAGUGAGGCCCUAGGAUGCAAGUGUGUCAGGGGUUCAAUGGUACAAGGCAAACCACACGGGCGUGUAUUUUCUAGUGUAACCGCUAUUUACAGCCAUAAAUUGAACUUCUCACCAACACUAUGAUAUGUUUUUGAAAAAGCAACAGCACAAGCAGGUUCAUAGUUUCUUACCCUUAUGAGGUUGCUGGUAAAUCUGCAAAGAUGGGUAGAACCAGCGGCCGACCGCGCGACACCAGCGCACACUGAGCAGCGGAGCGUGUGGGAGGAGGAAAGCUCGGGCAGA